GAGGCAGCCAUCCUUAACAUGUGCAGUCGAUCAUCCUCUUGGCUGCUGUAGGGUCCAUAACAUUGCAGCUUCACAGAUUGCUAUGAUGCUUUGUUCAUUCAUUGUGACUUGUGGCUUGAUACAUGAAUGUUACUUUCUGCUCAGUUACUUCCUGAAAUUACCUAGGCCAAUGAUGUCCAGAAGCCUUCAGGAGGGGAGGAUGGGGUUUCUCAGCUAAGCACUGCUUGCAUGCCAGAGCUAAGGGGAGAUGGAUUCCAGGAAGUAAAUGCUACACAAAUCAUCUGCCCUUACUCAAGAUGGCCAAGACUAGGACUGCUGGAGGGUGUUUUUGAAAUGUGUUCUCAGCAAAAUAAAGAAUCGAGACACGGAUGGAUUGAUGACUUUGCUUUAAAUAUAAAAAUUUAUUAAAUUGCA